rnacentral:rRNA from 1 species
UACGUAGGGACCAAGCGUUGUUCGGAUUUACUGGGCGUAAAGGGCGCGUAGGCGGUGUUGUAAGUCACUUGUGAAAUCUCCGGGCUUAACUCGGAACGGUCAAGUGAUACUGCAGCACUAGAGUGCGGAAGGGGCAAUCGGAAUUCUUGGUGUAGCGGUGAAAUGCGUAGAUAUCAAGAGGAACACCUGAGGUGAAGACGGGUCGCUGGGCCGACACUGACGCUGAUGCGCGAAAGCCAGGGGAGCAAACGGG